GUACACACCGCCCGUCGCUACUACCGAUUGAAUGGCUCAGUGAGGCCUUCGGACUGGCUCAGGGAGGUCGGCAACGACCACCCAGAGCCGGAAAGUUGGUCAAACUCGGUCAUUUAGAGGAAGUAAAAGUCGUAACAAGGUCUCCGUAGGUGAACCUGCGGAGGGAUCAUUA
rnacentral:rRNA from 4 species